rnacentral:rRNA from 1 species
AUGAGAGGGCUAAGGAACAUCAAUUCGCCUGACCAACUGGACUCUUUCAUUGAUCUAUGGUGGAGACUACAGAACACGGUCCUGUACCCGCGGCCGGACACAAUCUCUUGGAACCUCUCUGCCAAUGGAGAGUACUCAGCUAAGUCAGCCUACGUGGUUCAGUUCCUCACUAGGAUCCCACAGCCGCAUCUUCAGAAGGUUUGGAGCAUUAAGGCCGAACGCAAGGUCAAAUUCUUUAUAUGGACCCUCCUCCAGAACAGGCUAUGGACUGCGGACAGGCUAUUGGCUAGAAACUGGGAUCACAAUGAUGCUUGCUCAGGAUGUGAUCAAACGCUGGAAUCUGCCAAGCACCUAAUCCUUGAUUGCCCAUUUGCUAAGGAGGUGUGGUUCAAGUCUCGUGAGGAUUUCCCUCUUGCUGCACAGGCUGCUUUGGGCGCGACUUCGAUUUUAUCUUGGUGGAACACAGUACGGAGCCUAAAAAAGAGAGGAAGAGAUGCUGAUGAGUGCACUGCAGCGGUGUAUAUUGCUUGGAAUCUGUGGCUAGAAAGGAACAGCCGGAUUUUCAAAGACAAGACAAACACGAGCGCCGCGCUUCUCUUGCUGGCGAAGGACGAGUUAGGCCUUCUAAUGGAGUUAUGGGAGUAG